GACGAACGCUGGCGGCGUGCCUAAUACAUGCAAGUCGAGCGAAGUAUGAGGAGCUUGCUUCUUAUACUUAGCGGCGAACGGGUGAGUAACACGUGGGCAACCUGCCCGAUAGACUGGGAUAACUUGGGGAAACUCAAGCUAAUACCGGAUAGGAUCAUUGACUGCCUGGUUGAUGAUGGAAAGUCAGAACGACACUAUCGGAUGGGCCUGCGGCGCAUUAGCUAGUUGGGGGGGUAAGGGCCUACCAAGGCGACGAUGCGUAGACGACCUGAGAAGUUGCGCGGCCACACUGGGACUGGGACACGGCCCGGUCUCCGACGGGUGUGAGCGGUAGGAAAUCUUCUGCAAUUGGCGAAAGCCUGAGCGAGCAACGCCGCGUGAAAGAUGAAGGCCUUCGGGUUGUAAAAUUCUGUUAUAAGGGAAGAGCGUCUUUAGUAGGAAAUGGCUAGAGUGUGACGGUACCUUAUGAGAAUACCACGGCUAACUACGUGCCAGCCGCCGCGGUAA
rnacentral:rRNA from 1 species